GCAGAGGCAAGCAAACAUGUUGGAAGAAGAAGAAGAAGAAGAAGAAGGGGGGGGGAGUGAUGAGGCAGAGGGAUAGCCCCUCCUUACUGCUGUAAAAGCAGGAGGAAGAAAAAAAAGAGAAACAGGAGGAAAAAAAAAAGAGAGGAAGAAAGGAAAUCGUAGCCAUACGGGCUGUGCUCCCCCAGCUGAACUGUAUCUGCAUUUUAACGGUGGGAAGAAGAGACGCUAUAUGGCGAGGUGCUCCUCCCUCCACCCUGCCAACCUCAUCUGUCAGCCAUUAGUUAAUCAGGGCUGGUAAUGCAGAGCGCACAGAGAGCUGGCACGGCUCGUGGGACCAGAGGACAGCUUCACCUCUGAGAGCAAAGAGAGGGCAAGGACUCAGGGACCUCUGCGGCACCGGGCUACAGCUGGGUGGCUUCACUCACCAGCACCCACUCAGUAUUAACAUUUUUGUCUAGGAUUGGACUGGCUGUAACUUCAACAUGACCCCACCCAUCGCUUUGCCCGUGAACAGGUGAGCCAAUAGGACACAUGGAAACUUUUAGACAUCUAAGAGAAUCUCAACUGGCAUUUUAAGAUCUGUCACUCGGCCAAAAUGGCAAUCAAAGCAGCUCGUACAGCACAGAACCUCACAGAGAGAAGGUAAAUUCCACAAAACCAACACUUUGGCUCAGAUCAGAUCUGCUUUGUGUUGAAUGUGUUUUAUCACUGAUCACUUUAACCCUCAAGCAGUGUAUGGAAACACUCAUUACUGUAAGAACUAUAAUUAUGCUAUAAAAGUCUUUUUGGUUGGGGGUAACAUCAGAACUGAGUGCUGUUGUGAAAACAAUAGUUUAUUUUGGGAGCUUGGCCAUCAAAAACCUUAUUAACAUCAUAAUUAAGUUUUGACAAACGUCAUAUUUUGCAAGAUCAGUGAUGAAGACAUCGUUUGCUGAACAUUUAUGUCUAACAUGAUGGUUUAUUUCAUUUCAGCCUUCUUAAUUAAAAUGAUGCUUUUUUUGCAAAAUAUUGAAAAUAAAUCUGCAAUUAGGAUUUGGCAAAGUUUGUAAUACACCAUGUAGGUUUAGAAAAGAGGAUGCAUUGUGAAGUAUGAAUCAAAGGCGGCAAAGAGGCAAGUUAAGACCCCAAAUCAGACGGUUUUGGUGUGUUUUUUUUUCACACUUAGUGGAUCUAACUGAGGCCAUAUCUUAAAAUGUGAGAGCCAAGGUCGAAUUCCGAUCACAUUGCAGCACGUUUGCAAUGCAAGACGUUGGUAAUACCAAGCAUAUGGUAACUGUAGCUACAUGGACUCUUCAAAGGAGCUCAGUGCUGACCCGGAGCAAGAACAAACUUGCAUGAGUGUGAAGGGAGUGUAGAAUUAUACCCUGGGCUGCAUGUUGUCAAGGCUGAGAGAUACAUAGCCAAAAGAUAGCUGCUCUCUCUGUUUAACAAUGCCUGUGCAAAAUCAGUUUAUUUUUAAUCUAGGGAUCAAAUCCAGCUAAGGAGAAGGAGUAAUAUUUGGGAACAGAGUGCACUGUUUGAUAGCUUUAUUUCUUUUUUAUAGCGUCAUCAUAAGUAUCACAAUGUUCUCUGGAUCAUAGAUUAAACUGCAAAUCAGAGAAAGAAAGAGACAUGAGGGAGGAGGGUGAAGGGUCUUGUAAAAUUCAGGCUGCGUUCUCUGUUCAUAGGCUUGUUUUGCAAGGAGGAUUCAAAGACAGAAGUCAAAACAACACAUGUUGUCAACAUGGGAGCAGCUGGUAAGAGGGGCGUCAUGGGGCAGAGGAAUGUCAAGAGUCAUAGAUCUUUUAUCCAUCAGGCUGCAAUAACCACCCAGAAAGCACACUCAGAAGCAGUGUGAAAACUUUUUUUUUUUUUUUUAUAUAUAUAUAUUUCAGACUCAUCUAAUGAUCAACUUAACCAGCUAACUUUAUCCUUAAUCACUAAACAAAAAAACAAAUUCAAUGAAACAUUAUGCAAGUAUGUAAGUGUAGUUUUAACAGUGAAGUGAUGAAUUUCAGAUGUGACAUGUUGGUUUUGCAAUUUUAUUCUCCGCAGGAUGGGACUGAUUGUAAUAUAUGGAAAUAAUUUCCUGUCUCUGUCACUUCAGUGCCUGACAGUCAGUGAGCUGCAGGAGCUGCAGCCCCUCUUCUGAUUGGCUAAAACUAAACAGCAUACUCUGCACUCCAUGCCAAAGUUUGACUUUGCCAUCUUUAAAGCGUUAAAUAAACACUCAGUUGAGUAGGCAUAUACAGUUUCUCCAACAUGAUUUCCUUUUCAAGUCAACUGCACUCAGUAAAGAUACACCAAGCGACCAUAAGUCAAAACCAAAUGACAAAACAACCAGGUUUUUUUUUUUUUUCCGACUGUGUAAACAUUCCACUGAGAGCUUUUUCCGUGACUGUGUUCUACUGAAACUGCAGCUCUGCUCACAUCAGUACGCUGCUGCAGGUGAGGAAGAUGAGGACUACGACAGAAAAGAAGGGAAAAAAAGCAAAUUCUAAAUGACAGGUCCUGAAAAAUACAAACAGCAGCAGAGCCGUAACGUUAUAAAGUAUUGACCUUUGACAGAGGACAUUUAAACCUGACUUCCUCUUCCUGCUAAAUGUUAAACAGCUGCUUUUCUAAUCUGUCAAAGCAAACAGCUUGUCCCAGCUUGCAUAUGGGGGGGAAUAUGGAAAAGCUCAAGAGAGUGGAAGAUCAUGACCUUGCAUUUAUUUUUACAGAAAACAAAAGCAUAGAAAUGGUACCCAAACAAUGUAAGUAUAAUGAUAAAUUAUUUUUUUAUGGGAAAGAAGGAAACAGAGGAAAAUCUAAAAUUAUAUCCACAGGCAGAGGACUAUUUGUAAUAGCAAUAAAGUGUAAAUAUCAGACUUUUUCAAAAUGGUAAUGCAUUUCAAAUCUUACUUACUAAGCAUUUUAAAAAACGUUUUCCUUCCUCAUGCCAAUGUACAGCCACAUGGAAAAAACUGAAGCACAGCAAUGACUCUAAGACUGUCUAAGACGUCCAUCACAAAGACAAGUUGUGGAUUUAAAAAACACCUUACAAACAAGGCAGAUUCUUCUGUAGGCCAACAGAGUUCACAUUAAUGGUGGACACUAGAACAAGAAAAAAGAUUCUGUCUUUAAUAUUCCCACUCUCUGACACUUAGAGGAGUCCUAAAUACAUGAUGCACUGUUUCGUAAUGUAAUGCAAAAUACAGCAUUAUUAUGUCAUUUUAAUGAAUGACAAUGAAAAUUGGAUAUAAUGCUUCACUCAAUAGUAAGAACAGAAAAAUACAAAAAAAGUUACUACUGAAGACAAAACCCCAACACAAAAUGUCUUCCUAAAACACCUUUUUAAGAAAACUGCAUUUAAAAUAAUCCUUAAUAUUUAGAGCUUCAGUUUCUCAAAUAGGAGGAUUUGCUGGUUUUCUUUGUCUUACUUCUUUGGGAUUUAAACUCAUGGCAGAAAAAAAAAACAGAAUCUUACAUCGGACUUUGGAGAAAGUAAAAAGUUUCUUUGUUGGAUUUUUAGAAUGUUUAAAUAGUGCAGCUAACAUCCUUGAAGUUGCGGACAUUUGCGGACCAGUUGCCCCGCUAACAUGAUCCAAAGAAUCAGGUCUAAUAGGUAGUAGCUAAUUAGCAGUUGAACAGCACAGGUACUCAAAUAGUACAAAACAAGUAGAGCUAAAUGUCUUAAGCAGUGUAGCAAAUACAUUACACACUAGAGCUUAAAAGAUGGACUGUUGAUUCCCUGAUUCUUAAACACCCAAUCUAUCACUGUCUAAUCCUCAAGAGGGGAAAAAGCUCCUUUUCACUCCAUCACCUCGAUAGCAUCGACAGGCCCAAACAGGCACCGGCCCCAUCCAGUCUGACGUGGUCGCCUCAUGUGAGGAAAAAAAAAAUACUCCAAGAGGCUUAAAACCACUUUAUAAUACUUGACCGACAAGCUGAGGAAAAGCAGGCUGUCUUUACCUGAGUCAAAGCGAGGACAUGUUCACUGUCAUUUGAUGAAACCAACCUAAAUGCUUCCAGACUUUCACGCCCUGUCUCCUCUUAUUUCAUCUCCCUGCAUCUGCAAGCAACUCAGAACACAAAAUAACAUCUAGCCCAAUGACAUGGGCUCCUCUUUCUUCCAAUGUCCUACAUAGAAAAUUCAAUUUAGUUUGGCGUCCAUGUCUUGAAAUGGCCUAAUGAACUCUUGAUUUAGCCAAUUGGCCUCAAUCUUGGUUAGAGUAAAAAAAACUCACCCUAACCCUAACCCAAGACCUAGAGAUGAACAUUUUGUUAGCUCUUGUACAAUCCUAAAAAAAAUGUCCUCUAAAUUGUGUGACAAAUGAAGUUCUGUUCUGAGGGGCUAAGUGUAGUUUAACAGUCAUUAAACUUGGAUCGUGUAUCCCAAUUGGGGGGAUUAGGACUUCAAUAUGGAGUUUAGAUUUUGGCAAAGCUAACUGGCCUCAAGGCGCCCCCUACAAAAAACAAAACAAACAUAAUGUCCCAGUUUAUUUAACCAUGAUUUACAGAGUUAAGUCCCCAAAUGUAUCAUAUUAAGCCUAACAGAAAAGCCUCCUCGACCAAACAAGAAGUAUGGGGUUAUGAAUUCUUUUGAGAGGAUCAUGUAGGAUGUAGUUUUAGCCAUGAACCUUGGUCAUACUUGAACAAACCUUCAUCUAUAUUGUUUUAAGGCCAUAUAAAACUUGAUUUACUUGGAGAAAAACUACUUUAACUACUUCCUAAGGUGCAAUUAUUUCAUUAGUAUGUUUAUGUAAGUGCUGACAUAGACAACCUAUAUUAGAAUGUGCAGAGUGCUGAACUUAUUUUCCUGCCAGCCAACAACUUGACCCAAAAGAGACUCUCAUUCUCAAUGAGCUAGCCGUGCCGUGAUCCAAAUAUUGUAAAUUUUCAGAUAAUAUCUCACACCAUCUGGUUUUUUGCUUUCCAAGUCUUAUUGGUUUGCAAAAAUCUGCGGGCCACAGCGCUUGACUUUUAACCAGCAACUCAAUUUUGCUUUGCUUGCUUUUUUUCCCUCAAAGGCCAAAAUGAAACAUUAUCUCACGACUCAGAUUAAGAUUAAAGCCUAGAACCAUUCCUUGAAAGGACCAACAGGGGGGGAGAAGAACCUUCCAGCGCUCGGUUCAAACACUCCACUGGCAUAUGGGCAGGAUCACGAAACACAAGCCCAAUGAUGUCACGACCGAGUGACCCCAGGGUGACAGGUUUGGAGAAUGUUCGUGCCCACUGCCCUCGGGCCAGUGUCAAGUAUGUCAAUGUUGUGCAUGUGGAUUUCAUUUCAAGCAGCAUGAUUAGUUCACAGACACUCGACUGCGAUCCCCCUCCAUGGGAAAGCCGCUCUGGACAGGAAACGGUGUGUUUUUGUUAGCAACAACCAGGCAUAAAUUACUCAAAUGGUGCCCUGGUUGCUAAUUCAUCACACACAGCCUUAUUAUUGCUGCUUUUUCACAUUUGACAUCAACAUUGCUUUUAAGGAAAUCACCUUUAGGUAAUGAUAUUUACAUUCCUGAUAGUGUGUGUUGAACUCUGUGCCUGCAAUGCUUCAUUUGUGCAAUAAAUCUGAUAAUUGUUGCGUGUCUUCUCUUUUUUUUUUACCAAUGACAAAUGUGUUCUGAUGAGCUGUGUUUGAAGAAAUUAAUAUAGCCUUUUGAAUUCUUCUGUUACAAAUUCUUAAAAUGUCACUGCAAGAUCAGAGAAGAAAUAAAGGUCCAAGGAGGAAAACAGAGGUAGGUUAAUAGAAAGAGAGAAAUCAAACCAAUCAUUAUCUAAAUGGGUAAAACCACUUUCAAACAUAUGUGUCCAUAUGUAACUGACAACAACCAGACGCUUGUCGGUAGUAUGAUAUAGCUAACAAAUCCAUCAGCAUGAAUAAGUGUUGAGGUUUAUUUCAUGUAGCCCACGACUGACAAAGAUAUAACAAAGAAAGGGGAAGUGAUCUGAUAAAAUGUCUCAGAAGUAACUGUAUUAGUGGAGUAAAUAAUGUGUUAUUUCAACUAACUAUGGGAUAAUUCUGUAAAAUUCUAGACUUACUUAGAGAUAUAGUUUUGAAUAUAAAAUAUAUAAAGACAACACAUAAAUUUCAUUAAUGGGCUGCUGCUGCUGCUGCUUCAAACUGAUGGUAUUGGUUUUUUAUUUAUUAAGUGAAGACACGCUUUCUGGGAAUUCUACCAACAGAAGAGGCCACUACAUGCGGUAAGACAAUCUCUGCGGCGGCAAUGGGAAAUAUUUGAACAGUGUUAUGUAAAACAAAAACCUCAGACAGAUUUGUACUCGGCCUGGAUCUAACAGAGCAUCCAGCUCCUUAAGAAUCGUCAUAGUAAUGAAAUAGUGUUUAAUCUUUGGUUCUAUGACGUGAUUAUGGAUAUCAAAAAACGUGAUGGGACGGGAACUUAUGAUGGGAGUGACGAGUGUAAGAGUAAUAUCAUAACAGAUUAAAGCCUCUGAUCUAGGUUGAUAGAUUUGGAUCACGACUGGAUGACGCUCAAGCACGUACAUCGUUGUUCAUUUCUAGAUAUAUUGUAGGCGCCAUAGCAUUAAGCUAAUUCAAGGUUUCUUUUUGUACUAACAAGCGAUAUGGUCAAUAAUGAGUCAACAGAAUGGAAUAUCGUUAACCGCUGCAUUAUUUGAUAGUCUGGCCUGUGCUUUUCUUCAAAGUAGGAAAGCAGGACUGUAUGAAACGCGUUAUAAAAACCAGAAGUUUUCUGUAAAUAUUAUCCUUCCAGGGCCUGGUUUUGGAUCUCCUCAACUAAACAACCCUUGCCAUCAUGAAUUAAUACGAAUUAUUGCUGUAGUAAAAGUAAUGCUCACGCUGUCUCCUGCCAAACACUUUACAGAGAGCUCUAUUAAUGCAAUGGUAAACAGAUGUGCCACCCAGCUCUCCAGUUUGAUUUGGACUGUGGAUGUUUUCUCCAGGGAGAUAACGGAAUAAAACAUUAUUUAUUUUUUUAAACUGCCUGCAGUGUUUUUAAUCUGCACUCUGUUGAGGUGUGCGAGUAAUACAGAUACUAUACAAUAGAAGGUGAAUUUAAGCAUGCACCGUAAUAGUUAAUGACUUUAAGAACUACUGAAAAAGGCAGUUUAACAGAGUCAAUUGAGGGUCAAAUACCACAUAAUGACCUGUGUCAAGUCUUUUCUGUGAGCCGUUUGCAGUUACUCCCUCUGCACACUAUGUACUGCAUAAAUAAACUGCAUAUGGGUUUCAUAAAUGUACUAUUGAGGUGCUGUACUUUAAAUAACUUCUGUGUCAAAACCAAAACUGCUCCCCUGUAUAUGCAAUAAACAAUGUAUUCCAAGCGUCACUA